rnacentral:misc_RNA from 1 species
AAGUCGUAACAAGGUCUCCGUUGGUGAACCAGCGGAGGGAUCAUUACAGAGUUGCAAAACUCCCAACCACUGUAAACCUUACCCCAACUGUUGCUUCAGCGGAGGUACCUCGCAGUGCCGCGCCCUCAGGCCCGCCAGAGGACCCCUAAACUCUGUUUCUAUAUGUAACUUCUGAGUAAAACCAUAAAUAAAUCAAAACUUUCAACAAUGGAUCUCUUGGCUCUG